rnacentral:rRNA from 1 species
CCUACGGGUGGCAGCAGUGAGGAAUAUUGGUCAAUGGGCGCGAGCCUGAACCAGCCAAGUCGCGUGAGGGACGACGGUCCUAUGGCUUGUAAACCUCUUUUGUCGGGGGGCAAAAGACGCCCCGCGUGGCGGUCCGAGAGUACCCGAAGAAAAAGCAUCGGCAAACUCCGUGCCAGCGGCCGCGUUAAUAGGGAGGAUGCGGCGGUUAUCCGGAUUUAUUGGGUUUAAAGGGUGCGCAGGCGGAAGAUCAAGUCAGGGGUAAAAUGUAGAGGCUAAAACUCGUCGAGCCGUUGAAACUGGUUUUCUUGAGUGAGCGAGAAGUAUGCGGAAUGCGUGGUGUAGCGGUGAAAUGCAUAGAUAUCACGCAGAACUCCGAUUGCGAAGGCAGCAUACCGGCGCUCAAUUGACGCUCAUGCACGAAAGUGUGGGUAUCGAACAGGAUUAGAUACCCGAGUAGUC